rnacentral:tRNA from 2 species
GCGCGGAUGGUGGAAUUGGUAGACACGCUAGCUUGAGGGGCUAGUGGGAGCAAUCCUGUGGGGGUUCAAGUCCCCCUCCGCGCA